rnacentral:lncRNA from 1 species
UAAUAAUUAAUAAAACUUAAAUUAAUAAAAUUUUAUUAUGCACAGAUAAUAUGAUAAAGUGUAUUUUUAAAUUUAAUAUACAUUUUGUAUAUAAUCUAACACCGUUUGAAUAAUAAUUAUAUUUGGUUGUAAAUACUAUUUAUUAGUUUUUUUUUUUUUUUUUUUGUACAUAAUCUAACUUAAUUCAUUAUUAAUAUUAUUAUUACUAUUUUUUUUUAUUUUUAUUAUUAGAACUAUAAUCUUUUUAGUAUUAAAAAGUUACAAUAAAACUACUUUUAAUGUAAUAUUAUCACAACCUUUAAGUGUAUCUAAUUAAAGAAUUACUACAAAUAUUUUAUUAUGUAUGAAAAAUAUAACAUUUAUUUUUUGCAAUGUAUGAACAUGUAUCAUUUGAUUACUUCCCCAAAAAAUGUAUAUAUUUAAAUGUAAAUAGUUGAUUUUUAAUUGUAUAGCUAUUUAAUUUCCAUUUAAUCAUAACUAGAGUAAAUUGAUAUUAAAAUAUGCUUCAAAAAAAAUAUUCAAAAGUAAGAAAUAUUAUACUUUGAAAUAUUUUGUCAAUGUAGAAAUAAAUAAUAUUUUAAUGCAAUGCCAGAUUACCUUUGAAUUCCUAGAAAUGUUGUAUUAUAUGUAUUUAAUAAACAGGUACAACAUUUAAUAAUUUUCAUAGUAUAAAUCAUAAUAAUUUAAUUAUAUAUACAGGGUAUUCGACCAUUAUAAGAGUAAGUUCCAUUAUCUCUGAAAGUAUUUUAUUUUUAUUUUUUGUUUUUUUCAGAACAUUUAAGAAAUAGGCAGUUCUAUAAUUUUAUAUAUUUUCCGAGGGUAAAACCACUAUAUCAAUCUCUAUUUAAAAUUGAUGAAAUGUUUAAUGUCCAUCAAUCUGAUGACGAGAUAUUCCACUUUUAAGUUUGGGUCAAGGGAAAGUAGUGUAGCGGCACGGCAUCAGCGCUUUAAUAAUGUAUCACUAAUCUCUCCUGACUAAUUGGAAUAACUCAUCAACUGAUAAAAAUCAAAAAUUUCAACACAGACAUUUAUUUUAACUAAUAUUUCUAUUAAUGGGAUUUCUAUUAUAGAUUGCUAUUUGACAAUCAAAUUAAUGGUUUUACACCCCAAAAAUAAGGGGUAUAAAAAAUAACUUAAAUGUAAAAUUAUAGAGCUGUUUGUUUCUUAGAUGUUCUGUAACACAAAUUCUGAAAAAAAGUUAAUACUUUCUAAGAUAAUGAAUACUACAGCAGAUUGAUCACCCUGUGUAUAUAUAUAUAUAUUUUAAAUUGUUCACUUUUGAAGUUUUAUUACUUAAAAGUAAACAGCUAAUCAUUCUAACUGAAUAUUACCUAUUCUUAUUUAUAUUUAAUUAUAGUAUUUUGUUUAGGUUUUCUUUUAAAACAUAAAAAAUAAACUUAUUAUGUAAAACUGAAAAAAUGUUCCAGUUAUUUUAUUAUUUUUACUUUAAUAUUAUACAACUUUUAAAUUUAGUAUCAUUCGAUUAUAUUUAGUUUUAUAACUAUUUUGUUUAAGUAUUUAUUUUUUUUUUAUUUUUCUAUACAUAAUUAAAUAUUUUAAUUCCAUAAUAUUAUAGUAAGUAUAAUUAUUGUAUUUUUUAAACAAAAUUGUAUUAAUUUAUUAUUUUUGGAUCAAUCGACGAUCAUUCACGCAGUAAUAAGAUUAUAUUUUGUUACUUAAUGAUAGUUUUACAAAACAUUGAUUUAUAAAGCAGUAAUUAGUUAUUAAAAAUUAAACUAUUAUCUUAAUAGUAAUCUAAGUUAUAUCAGUUUAUUACAUUGUAAUUUGUGUGAUUAAAUAAUA